ACACACACACACACACACACACACACACACACACGUACACACACACACCUGUACCAGGCGGAUCUGGGGUCUCUGACGCCCGCCGCCCCCUUUGCCCGAGCAUGGGUCCGUUUAGCCUUCUAGGUGCAUGGGCGCCACCCCAUCCCCAGGACAGAAAGAGCGUGGAGCGAGCGGGUCCUGCAGCCCCAGCAGCCCUGGGAGGAGGGGGGCCAGCAUAGGGCGGGGCAGUGUCACAUAACAGCGGGCGCGCCGCCCCCGCCCCCGCCCCCAGCCCCGGCCCACCCUCCGCGCCGCGCCCCUCCCGGCUCACCCACAGAAGAGCCGAUCCUCGCCCUCCGCUGCAGGGACAUCUUAAGAGCUUUGUCCAGGCCUGCACCCUUCAGCAUCUCGCCCGUGUCGCUGACUCGGCCGCCCCGGUUUCUGUGUCUGGCCUGGUGUUAACUGCGUAGUUUCUUCAGGAAACAGAUAUUUCCAAGAUAUCUGAUGUGUGGCCUCGAAAGUCAGAGAAGUCCUGGAUCUGCAGCCCCCUGACUCCCACCCAUCACAGCCUGUCUAGAAUUCUAAAUAGUGGCAUGUUAGAGCUAUAAGAAUAGUGCACCUAACCACACGCACACCAGCACCUUCUUCCAUAGAAACAAAAUUAAUUGAGAGGUAAGGUGACUUGUCCAAGGUCACUCGAUCAAUUUUUGUUUUCUUUUGUCAGUGGAUGUUUAAACUGCUUGGUCCUCUGGGCAAAUUGAGAAUAUCUGAUGAAAUUCUGACCUAAGUUAAAAAUUCGGAUAAGAGUCCUAUGUAUGUAUACUGAUAUGAUCAUUUCAUUUUACAUAAAGUGAACACCAGGACGGACAAGGAGAACAAAGUUCAGAAAGAAUCAAUGUCUGUUUCAGUCAGCUUUUUCACUGCUGUCACCAAAAGACCUGACAAGAACAAUUUUAGAAGAGGAAAAAUUUAUGGUGGCUCACGGCUUUCUGUUCACAGAUAGCCAGCUCCAUUGCUUUGUGCCCCAGGUAAGGCAGAGCAUCAUGGUGGAAGAGUGUGGUAGAGGAAAGCAGCCCAGGACUGGGAACAAGGAAUGAUAGAGAGAAAUUGCCCUCACCAUGGACAAUAUAUAUAUAUAUACUCCAAGGGCACAUCCUAGUUACUACUCAGUUAAUCCCUAUCAGAGGAUUAAUGCACUGAUUAGGUUGACUCUCAUAACCCAAUCAGUUCACCUCUAAACUUUCUUGCAUUGUCUCACACACGCACUUUUACAGGACACCUCAUAUCUAAACCAUAAUACUAGGGAUAGACAUGUCGAAGUGCCGCCCCCACCCCCACCCCAGCUCCUCCUGUGUGGCCUCGGCUAACGAUUUUUCUUAGGGAAAUCCAGAAGGGAUGGGAAACUUGUACUGAAAAAUGUAGGCUAUCAACAGACUGGACUAAAUUUUAGUUUCAAGUACAAUUUCUUGUCUGUCUAUUCAAAGUGUUUCCCAUUAUAAAUUAAUCUAUGGGGAGAGUUGAAGACAAAAAAAAAAAAUUCUUAAGCAUUGAGCCGAGUUUCAGGGUGGGUGUGUUUUCUUUGAGUUUUCCUACUGGCUGAGAAUGUAAAGCUGGAGUUAAUCCUAGCACUGAAUUUGUCAAAACUUUGCCCCUAGUGAUUUAGCACAUUUUCCGUCUAUAAUAACCCCUGGAAGGCUAAGCAAAUUUUUGAAAAGGACUUGAAAGAAUAAGAUUUUUUCAGCCCCAAACUUUAAGAUCAGUAGAAAACUUCUGUUGUUAAAUAUAGAACAUUUACAGACCUACCCAGUUGUCCUACCCUGAUUUCACACAACCCCAUUACUGCUUUUAUUUCCAUGUUUGUAUUACAAAAAACAAUAACAAAAACUGUCCUGACAACUUUGUGGGAGUUUAAGGCAGUUCAGUUGGCACACUUUGAACAUCAGUAACAUGAGCCCAUUCUUUCUUAUUUUGGCUGCAUGGUCCUAAAAACAAUCAGCUGGGAUCCUUCUUUCAAGAAGCUAUUUUACACAAAUGAAGCUGGUUGUAGUGGCACAUGUCUGUAAUCCCAGCAACUGGGAAGGCUAAAGCAGGAGGCUUGAAAGUUCAAGGCUAGUCUCAGUAAUUUAGCAAGACCUUGUCUCAAAAUAAAAAAUAAAUAGGGUUCAAUUUACUUAUUGUUCACAAGUAAAGCACUCCUUGGGUUCAAUCCCCAGUACAACAGCAUUUUAAAAAAGAAUUAAAAAAGCUUCAAGCCACUUCUUAAGCCCCCUUUCUUCAAACUGAAAAAGUUCUGUUUCUUUUGUCUGUUAGUUUCUGCAGUUCAGGAGAUUGAACCCAGGGGCUCAGGCAUACUCUACUAUGCAAGGGCACAACUACUGAGCUAUACCUUAGUCCUAGCCCUGUUUCUUUUAAAAAUUUGUGUGUUUAUAAUAUAUAUAUAUAUAUAUAUAUAUAUAUAUAUAUAUAUAUAUUAUACACACAGACUUUUAAAAGAAAAUGGCAUAUAUAUUUGGCAUAUUAAAAAUAUAUUACUCAUCCAUAUAUCCACUUCCCAGUUUAGGAAACAUCACAAUACAGGCCCGAUGGGAGACUAUUUACCUUCCCCUAAUCCCUUUCUUUUCCUUCUGUUCCCCAGACCAACUUCCUUUUAUCUUUUCUUCAUUGAGUGUCUUUUUUCUUUCCUUGUUAUUAUUUACAGACUAAUGAACUAAAAGUCAAUCCUGAUAGUAAUGGGUAAGGGUCCAAGGUGGACCAUUUCAUUGAAAUCUUUUUUCUAUGAGGUUCUUACUAACCCAUUAAGUCCUAAGUUUUAAAUUCUGCAAUUAUUUCAAUUUCAAUAAAAUUAACAUAGAUGCAUUAAAAUAGGUUGGAAACCGUAAUCUAGAGCUUAUAUAUUAUUGACUGAUACUAGUAUUAAUGUAAUUAUUAUAUAAUUAUAUCAUAUAAUUAUAUUAUAUACUAUAUUUUUAUAGGCAUUUCACUUCUGGGGUGAUGGGGUAAAAUGGGUUAUGUAAAUAUAGUUUGAUUACUUAAAUCUUCUCUGAAUUCUUCUCAUUUUUACACAUUGUUAUUAGAGAGCAGUGUCCCAAACUGUGCAUAGAAGAAAUAUUCAAAAGAACUGUAAAUCUCUGUUUUCCCAAUGACAAAAAGGGCAAUUGUCCCAGAUCCUUCCUCCUCUAUCAAUCAUUUCAUUCAUUCAUUCACAGUCAUGUCUGGCAUUUGGUGGCUGGCAGCUGGGAUUUUAGAUGGGGCUGGGAACUGGUGUACUUAUACAUGGCCUCUCCACCUGGGAUUCCUUACAACAUGUUUGUUGGAGUUCAAGUGUGAGUUCCCAAGAGAGUAUCAGGUGGAAAGGAGUCUUGGAAAGCAUGGCCUUGGAAGUAUGCAGCAUCAUUUUCACCAUACCCUGUUUGUCAAGGCAGUUACAAAGGCCCUAUCGGUCCAAGGGAGGAAGAAGUAGACUUGACCUUCUGAUGGAAAAAGUGGCAAGAUUCUGGAAAAGCACAGAGUUGGAAACAUCGUUGCAACCACUUUGGGAAUUGCAGUCUGUCAGAACUAGCAACAAGCAAGAUUAAUGUUAAUAAAAUAUUAUUUAUGAUUACAUCAUAAUCAA